rnacentral:rRNA from 1 species
CCUACGGGUGGCAGCAGUGAGGAAUAUUGGUCAAUGGACGAGAGUCUGAACCAGCCAAGUAGCGUGAAGGAUGACUGCCCUAUGGGUUGUAAACUUCUUUUAUAUGGGAAUAAAACGUUCCACGUGUGGGAUUUUGUAUGUACCAUAUGAAUAAGGAUCGGCUAACUCCGUGCCAGCAGCCGCGGUAAUACGGAGGAUCCGAGCGUUAUCCGGAUUUAUUGGGUUUAAAGGGAGCGUAGGUGGAUUGUUAAGUCAGUUGUGAAAGUUUGUGGCUCAACCGUAAAAUUGCAGUUGAAACUGGCAGUCUUGAGUACAGUAGAGGUGGGCGGAAUUCGUGGUGUAGCGGUGAAAUGCUUAGAUAUCACGAAGAACUCCGAUUGCGAAGGCAGUUCACUGGACUGCAACUGACACUGAGGCUCGAAAGUGUGGGUAUCAAACAGGAUUAGAUACCCCUGUAGUC